rnacentral:snoRNA from 1 species
AACCUUUCAGAGUCACACCUGGAGAGUUUCCAGUACUCUACCAGUCUUGGCUAUGGGAGGGAGAGGCAAGCAGAGGCAUACCCAUUCCAUUCCUAGCUUAGACAGUGGCUAGCAAGUGGAAGGCAAUCUGCUACAAGU